CCUUUUUCUGCCCCCUCUUCGUGCAUUCUCUCUCUCCUUCACAGGCCCCACUACUCUGUCCUGGGGCAGGUGCCAGACACGGAUAUUUACAGAGAUGUGGCAGAGUACUCAGAGGCCAAGGAAGUCCGGGGGGUGAAGGUCUUCCGCUCCUCGGCCACCGUGUACUUUGCCAAUGCUGAGUUCUACAGUGAUGCGCUGAAGCAGAGGUGUGGUGUGGAUGUCGACUUCCUCAUCUCCCAGAAGAAGAAACUGCUCAAGAAGCAGGAGCAGCUGAAGCUGAAGCAACUGCAGAAAGAGGAGAAGCUUCGGAAACAGGCUGCCUCCCCCAAGGGCGCCUCAGUUUCCAUUAAUGUCAACACCAGCCUUGAAGACAUGAGGAGCAACAACGUUGAGGACUGCAAGAUGAUGGUGAGACUGGAGGUGGGAAAGGAGGUGACAGCUGUGAGCUGCAGAGAUGCAGGAUCCACAUGUCUCAUGAGGAAUGCCAUGGACCCAGCAGCUGUGGGCUCGAGGGUGUUGCGCCGAUGGCAGGAGGAGUGGGGAGGCUGGGUCAGAUAUUCUUCAGGGAGCGUCGUGAUAUGCCACAGAAUCUAGGCUUAGAUUCUCAGGCCUAGAUGAAGACCUUGAAUUUGUAGAUCCCACAAGACUUCCCCCAGAGUCUGCUCAUGGGUAGAGGAAAGGGAUGGGGUAUAUGGGAGAAAAUCAAGGGGUCAAAGGCAGGCGUGGUGGUACGCGCCUGUAGUCCCAGCUCUUCGGGAGGCUAAGGCGGGAAAAUCAUUUGAGCCCAGGAGCUCGGGGCUGCAGUGCGCUCUAAUGGUGCCUGUG
rnacentral:lncRNA from 10 species